AACGGCCCACAACACAUUAUGGUAAUAUUGAUCUGGUUGUAUCUGAGAGGUAGGAGAGACAGGAGGGACAGGGCUGUAGAACGGACCACAACACAUUAUGGUAAUAUUGAUCUGGUUGUAUCUGAGAGAUAGGAGAGACAGGAGGGACAGGGCUGUAGAACGGACCACAACACAUUAUGGUAAUAUUGAUCUGGUUGUAUCUGAGAGAUAGGAGAGACAGGAGGGACAGGGCUGUAGAACGGACCACAACACAUUAUGGUAAUAUUGAUCUGGUUGUAUCUGAGAGGUAGGAGAGACAGGAGGGACAGGGCUGUAGAACGGCCCACAACACAUUAUGGUAAUAUUGAUCUGGUUGUAUCUGAGAGGUAGGAGAGACAGGAGGGACAGGGCUGUAGAACGGACCACAACACAUUAUGGUAAUAUUGAUCUGGUUGUAUCUGAGAGAUAGGAGAGACAGGAGGGACAGGGCUGUAGAACGGCCCACAACACAUUAUGGUAAUAUUGAUCUGGUUGUAUCUGAGAGAUAGGAGAGACAGGAGGGACAGGGCUGUAGAACGGCCCACAACACAUUAUGGUAAUAUUGAUCUGGUUGUAUCUGAGAGAUAGGAGAGACAGGAGGGACAGGGCUGUAGAACGGCCCACAACACAUUAUGGUAAUAUUGAUCUGGUUGUAUCUGAGAGAUAGGAGAGACAGGAGGGACAGGGCUGUAGAACGGCCCACAACACAUUAUGGUAAUAUUGAUCUGGUUGUAUCUGAGAGAUAGGAGAGACAGGAGGGACAGGGCUGUAGAACGGCCCACAACACAUUAUGGUAAUAUUGAUCUGGUUGUAUCUGAGAGGUAGGAGAGACAGGAGGGACAGGGCUGUAGAACGGACCACAACACAUUAUGGUAAUAUUGAUCUGGUUGUAUCUGAGAGGUAGGAGAGACAGGAGGGACAGGGCUGUAGAACGGCCCACAACACAUUAUGGUAAUAUUGAUCUGGUUGUAUCUGAGAGGUAGGAGAGACAGGAGGGACAGGGCUGUAGAACGGCCCACAACACAUUAUGGUAAUAUUGAUCUGGUUGUAUCUGAGAGGUAGGAGAGACAAGAGGGACAGGGCUGUAGAACGGCCCACAACACAUUAUGGUAAUAUUGAUCUGGUUGUAUCUGAGAGGUAGGAGAGACAGGAGGGACAGGGCUGUAGAACGGACCACAACACAUUAUGGUAAUAUUGAUCUGGUUGUAUCUGAGAGAUAGGAGAGACAGGAGGGACAGGGCUGUAGAACGGACCACAACACAUUAUGGUAAUAUUGAUCUGGUUGUAUCUGAGAGAUAGGAGAGACAGGAGGGACAGGGCUGUAGAACGGCCCACAACACAUUAUGGUAAUAUUGAUCUGGUUGUAUCUGAGAGAUAGGAGAGACAGGAGGGACAGGGCUGUAGAACGGCCCACAACACAUUAUGGUAAUAUUGAUCUGGUUGUAUCUGAGAGAUAGGAGAGACAGGAGGGACAGGGCUGUAGAACGGCCCACAACACAUUAUGGUAAUAUUGAUCUGGUUGUAUCUGAGAGAUAGGAGAGACAGGAGGGACAGGGCUGUAGAACGGCCCACAACACAUUAUGGUAAUAUUGAUCUGGUUGUAUCUGAGAGGUAGGAGAGACAGGAGGGACAGGGCUGUAGAACGGCCCACAACACAUUAUGGUAAUAUUGAUCUGGUUGUAUCUGAGAGGUAGGAGAGACAGGAGGGACAGGGCUGUAGAACGGCCCACAACACAUUAUGGUAAUAUCUAAGGGUUCAUCCCAAAUAGCACCCUAUUCCCUAUGUAGUGCACUCCUUUUGAAAACAGACCGAUAAUGUGUAUUUACUGUUGUAAGAGAAGCGACAGAAAGAUAUAUUUACAAAUACAAUUAUGUAUCUUAAAAUAACAUUUAAUUUGAAAAGCA